CUUUAAGCCAAUUUGAACAAUGGGUUAAUGUGGAUAUGUAUCAGUCUUCAUUGGUUAUUGACAUGGCUUGUUUCUGCUGGUGCAAAAAGAAAAAACGUCAUAAAGCAAAUUCAGUUGAUGUAGAGCAGAAGACAAGAAAGAAGAAUGAGAGUGGCACUUCAUCCCCCUCUCCAAUUCCAUCUGACCGUUCUGAACGGAAUGCCUCCGUCACCUCUGACCCUUCACCCUCUGACCAACUCUCCUCCCUCCAUCCACCUUCCUCUCCUGUUAAAUGUUCCUCUCAGCCUUGCUCUCCUGCUAAACAGCCCUCUGUACCCCGGUCACCUGCCAAACACCCUUCCCCAGUGAAAUCCUCUCCAGUGGUGUCCCUCCCUAGUUCUCCCUCUCCUACCAACCCUCUGGACUGUCAUGGAGACACCAGCCAUGAGGGCACAACAGUCAGACCUCUGUCUCUUCUGGACCACUCUAGCCCAAGGCCCCAGAGGCCAGUCUCAGCCACCAGAAGCAUGAGUCUUCCCAGGGCCAGCUCAGCCACCAGAGGGUCAGAAGAGACCCAGGGGCCAGAGGAGAACGGGGGCACUGGUCAACAUGGAACUUCUUGGGUUGCCUAACAUUGGCAACACUUGCUUCCUUAACGCCAUCCUGCAGUGUCUCCUGGUCCUGCCUUCCUUCUUAAAGAAAAUCCUGCACCAGGAACAACUCUGGAGCUCCUCCCCUUCUCCAACCUGCUCAGGUGUCUGUCUGAUGUGUACCGUUCGAGUCUACCUGACAGUGGAGCAAACCAGGCCUCAAAAGCAGACCUCAUGUGGAAGGUCAAGUACUCCUUGUCGGGAUAUGAUUUGAAAUAUCUGGGGGACACGCAACAGGACGCACACGAGUUACUUGUGAACAUGCUGUGUCAGCUGAAGGAGGAGGGCAUGAUAUUGAAGACACUCGGGGUGAGCUAUACCUGCCCUGUUUCCCAGCUGGAGUUCCAGCUUGUGUCGGUGCGCACAUGUACCAGCUGUGGGCGCGAGUCGUCCACCUGAGAGGACUACAACCACCUCUCAUUGGACUUCAGCCCUGAGCGCACCUUGCAGAGUAGCCUAGCACUCACUUUCAAAGGUGAAAAGGUUGAAUUCAAAUGUGAGGGCUGUAAAGGACUCCACGCCACAAAGUUGGAGCUUUUCCACACACUGCCUCUUGUGCUGGUUCUGCAUCUGAAGAGGUUUGGAGGACCUGGGGGGUUGGAGAAGCUGGAGGCUCCUCUUUUGUUUCCUUCGGAGCUGAGGG